AGAGAAGGUUAAAGGAAGAUGAGAUGGAAGCUCUGAUAAAAAAUGGCAAGGUCACCAAGAAGGACUCUGUGAUAACAUGCACAGUUUGUGAUGCUAAGGGCCACAACAAGAGGUUUCAUGGUGCUGGUGCUUCUACAAGGCAACAACAAAUGAGGGAAAAACUGCUUGUGAUGAGAAAGACAAAAAAACAGCAAAAGAAAAAGGAAUCAAUGGUGAAAAUAGUGCACAAAAUGUGUUUGAAACAUAUGAAGAUGAUCACAUAGCUUCAAAUGUGUUUAAUAUUGACCAACCUGAUCAUGAAGAUGACUAUGGGGCUUCUACAGGCAUAGCUCCUUUAGGGACAACUUCAACAUUUGAUAAUUUGUCACCACUAAUACCAUUGUCACAGUUAUUCAAUAUAACACCAUCAACAAAACAAGUACAAAAACCUGCAGUUGAGCUUGGCAUACUAGCUCAUUUAGUUGAUUGUAGUGAUUAUGCUUCACAGUGGAAAUCACAUUUACACUUUAUCACAUGACCUUCAAAAACUACCACCAAGAAGACUAAGAGCAUUAAUGAUUUGUUGACUGAGCUACCACCAGAUUUGGGUAUUGGAAGACUUUCACAAACACAAAAAGGAGGAAUUGCAAAAAAGCCAGUAACUGAAGCUAAGGGAAAAAAGACUUUCAAACCCCCAAGGUUGUUGAGCAAAGAUGUUGGGGCUGAAGGAGUUAGACAAUAACAAAGCUUCAAGAUAAAGGAAAACAAAAGAUUGAUGGAAGUGUUUCAACAAAGAAGAGAGCUUGGGUGCCUCCAGAAAAUGCAAAGAACAAAAGAAUUAGAAUUGGAAAGAAUUAAAAUUGUUUUCUAUUUUUGAAACCCCAAAUAAUAAUGUUUGUUUUGGUUGUUGUAUUGUUAAUAUAUGUAUGGACCUAACAUGUGGUCCUUUGACAGAUUUUUUUGUAAUGGCUUUUGAUAGCCUUGGGUGUAGGGUUCAUGAAAUUUCCACAUCCAUUCACUUUUUGUUCAAAGAUUUAAUU